CCUACGGGAGGCAGCAGUGGGGGAUAUUGCGCAAUGGGCGAAAGCCUGACGCAGCGACGCCGCGUGAGGGAUGAAGGUCUUCGGAUCGUAAACCUCUGUCAGCAGGGAAGAACGGUCACUGUGCUAAUCAGCAGUGAAUUGACGGUACCUGCAAAGGAAGCACCGGCUAACUCCGUGCCAGCAGCCGCGGUAAUACGGAGGGUGCGAGCGUUAAUCGGAAUUACUGGGCGUAAAGCGGUCGUAGGCGGUAUGUCAAGUCAAGGGUGAAAUCCCCGCGCUCAACGUGGGAACUGCCUUUGAAACUGGCAAACUGGAGUGUGUGAGAGGAUGGUGGAAGUCCAGGUGUAGGAGUGAAAGCCGUAGAUAUCUGGAGGAACAUCAGUGGCGAAGGCGACUAUCUGGCACAUAACUGACGCUGAGGAGCGAAAGCGUGGGUAGCAAACAGGAUUAGAUACCCUAGUAGUC
rnacentral:rRNA from 1 species